AACGAACGCUGGCGGCAGGCCUAACACAUGCAAGUCGAGCGAGAACUUCGGUUCUAGCGGCGGACGGGUUAGUAACGCGUGGGAAUAUGCCCUUCACUACGGAAUAGUCCCGGGAAACUGGGUUUAAUACCGUAUACGCCCUUCGGGGGAAAGAUUUAUCGGUGAAGGAUUAGCCCGCGUUGGAUUAGGUAGUUGGUGGGGUAAUGGCCUACCAAGCCGACGAUCCAUAGCUGGUUUGAGAGGAUGAUCAGCAACACUGGGACUGAGACACGGCCCAGACUCCUACGGGAGGCAGCAGUGGGGAAUAUUGGACAAUGGGCGCAAGCCUGAUCCAGCCAUGCCGCGUGUGUGAUGAAGGCCUUAGGGUUGUAAAGCACUUUCAACGGUGAAGAUAAUGACGGUAACCGUAGAAGAAGCCCCGGCUAACUCCGUGCCAGCAGCCGCCGUAACAC
rnacentral:rRNA from 1 species